rnacentral:rRNA from 1 species
UACAGAGGGUGCGUGCGUUAAUCGUCAUUCCUGGGCGUAAAGCGCGCGUAGACGGUUUUGUAAGUCAGAUGUGAAAUCCCCGGGCUCAACCUGGGAACUGCAUUUGAAACUGCAUGGCUAGAGUACGGUAGAGGGAAGCGGAAUUUCAGGUGUAGCGGUGAAAUGCGUAGAUAUCUGAAGGAACACCAGUGGCGAAAGCGGCUUCCUGGACCAGUACUGACGUUCAUGUGCGAAAGCGUGGGGAGCAAACAGG